rnacentral:lncRNA from 1 species
CACAGUGGCCUGGAAACUGGAUCAAGGCAAGCCUUGUCAAGGAAAGUGGACCUUUAUGAAGUGAGCCUGGAGUCUUUACUCACUUCUCAGCCACUGCCUGAUAAAUACCAAAAAGGACGGGGGAGAGGGAAAGUCUGAACCACCCGUCCUAAGAAACUAGCCAAAAUUUGAGGAGUGCAAUCAGGAAAGUGCUCUCAGAAGACAUGACUGCUCCAGUGGCUGGACUCCCAGGCUGAGAGACAAUCCCUCUUCAUUCCUCCCACUGCAUUGCUCCAUACUACUGAAGCAUUCUAGAGUGGGCUU